rnacentral:tRNA from 1 species
GGGGCGGUAGCUCAGCCUGGGAGAGCACAUGGCUGAAGACCAUGGAGUCGUGGGUUCAAAUCCCACCCGUCCCA